rnacentral:rRNA from 1 species
AGCGAACGCUAGCGGCAGGCCUAACACAUGCAAGUCGAACGAAGUCUUCGGACUUAGUGGCGGACGGGUGAGUAACACGUGGGAACGUGCCUUUAGGUUCGGAAUAACCCAGGGAAACUUGUGCUAAUACCGAAUGUGCCCUUCGGGGGAAAGAUUUAUCGCCUUUAGAGCGGCCCGCGUCUGAUUAGCUAGUUGGUGAGGUAAAGGCUCACCAAGGCUACGAUCAGUAACUGGUCUGAGAGGAUGACCAGCCACAUUGGGACUGACGACACGGCCCAAACUCCUACGGGAGGCAGCAGUGGGGAAUCUUGCGCAAUGGGCGAAAGCCUGACGCAGCCAUGCCGCGUGGAUGAUGAAGGUCUUAGGAUUGUAAAAUCCUUUCACCGGUGAAGAUAAUGACUGUAGCCGGAGAAGAAGCCCCGGCUAGCUUCGUGCCAGCCGCCGCGGUAACAC